UCCUACGGGGGGCAGCAGUGGGGAAUAUUGGGCAAUGGAGGCAACUCUUACCCAGCAAUGCCGCGUGAAUGAAGAAGGUCUUCGGAUUGUAAAGUUCUUUAAUUGGGGACGAAAAAAAUGACGGUACCCAAGGAAUAAGCCCCGGCUAACUACGUGCCAGCAGCCGCGGUAAUACGUAGGGGGCAAGCGUUGUUCGGAAUGACUGGGCGUAAAGGGUGCGUAGGCGGGAUAGCAAGUUAGAAGGGAAAUACCUAGAGCUUAACUCAGUGGCUGCUUCUAAAGCUGCUAGACUUGAGU
rnacentral:rRNA from 1 species